rnacentral:rRNA from 1 species
AUUGAACGCUGGCGGCAGGCCUAACACAUGCAAGUCGAACGAGCGGCGGACGGGUGAGUAAUAUAUGGGGACUGCCCAAUAGAGGGGGAUAACUACUGGAAACGGUGGCUAAUACCGCAUACUAUCGGAUGACCCAUAUGGGAUUAGCUAGUAGGUGGGGUAAAGGCUCACCUAGGCGACGAUCCAUAGCUGGUCUGAGAGGAUGAUCAGCCACACUGUGACUGAGACACGGCCCAGACUCCUACGGAGGCAGCAGUGGGGAAUAUUGCACAAUGGGGGCAAGCCUGAUGCAGCCAUGCCGCGUGUAUGAAGAAGGCCUUAGGGUUGUAAAGUACUUUUAGCUGAGAAGCGUUACCCGCAGAAUAAGCACCGGCUAACUCCGUGCCAGCAGCCGCGGUAAUUC